CCUACGGGAGGCAGCAGUGAGGAAUAUUGGUCAAUGGUCGGGAGACUGAACCAGCCAAGCCGCGUGAGGGAUGAAGGUACAGAGUAUCGUAAACCUCUUUUGUCAGGGAACAAAGGCGGGGACGUGUCCCCGGAUGAGUGUACCUGAAGAAAAAGCAUCGGCUAACUCCGUGCCAGCAGCCGCGGUAAUACGGAGGAUGCGAGCGUUAGCCGGUUUUAGUGGGUUAAAAGGGUGCGCAGGCGGUCUGUUAGGUCAGCGGUCAAAGCCCGGGGCUCAACCCCGGCCCGCAGUUGAGACUGGCAGUCUCGAGUUGGAGAGAGGUAUGCGGAAUUCGCGGUGUAGCGGUGAAAUGCAUAGAUAUCGCGCAGAACUCCGAUUGCGAAGGCAGCAUGCCGGCUCCACACUGACGCUGAGGCACGAAAGCGUGGGUAUCGAACAGGAUUAGAUACCCCAGUAGUC
rnacentral:rRNA from 1 species